rnacentral:rRNA from 1 species
AACGCUAGCUACAGGCUUAACCCAUGCAAGUCGAGGGGUAGCACGGAGGAAGCUUGCUUCCUUGGGUGACGACCGGCGCACGGGUGAGUAACGCGUAUCCGACCUACCCAUAACACGGGCACAGCCGAUCGAAAGAUCGAUUGAUUCCCGAUAUGUUAUAUAAGUAGAUUAUAUAAUGAAAGAUUCAUCGGUUAUGGAUGGGGAUGCGUAAGAUUAGGUAGUAGGCGGGGUAACGGCCCACCUAGCCGACGAUCUUUAGGGGUUCUGAGAGGAAGGUCCCCCACACUGGUACUGAGACACGGACCAGACUCCUACGGGAGGCAGCAGUGAGGAAUAUUGGUCAAUGGGCGGAAGCCUGAACCAGCCAAGUAGCGUGAAGGAUUACAGCCCUACGGGUUUUAAACUUCUUUUAUAUAAGAGUAAUGUGCACUACGUGUAGUGUAUUGCAAGUAUUAUAUGAAUAAGCAUCGGCUAACUCCGUGCCAGCAGCCGCGGUAAUACGGAGGAUGCGAGCGUUAUCCGGAUUUAUUGGGUUUAAAGGGAGCGUAGGCGGGAUAUUAAGUCAGUCGUCAAAGCCUGUGGCUCAACCACAGCCCGCGAUUGAUACUGGUAUCCUUGAGUGCAGAUGAGGUGGAUGGAAUUCGUGGUGUAGCGGUGAAAUGCUUAGAUAUCACGAAGAACUCCGAUUG